UACGUAGGCAGCAAGCGUUGUUCGGAAUUACUGGGCGUAAAGAGUGUGUAGGCGGUGCUCUAAGUUCGUUGUGAAAUCUCCCGGCUUAACUGGGAGGGUGCGGCGGAAACUGGAGUGCUUGAGCGCGGGAGAGGAAAGCGGAAUUCCUGGUGUAGCGGUGAAAUGCGUAGAUAUCAGGAGGAACACCUGUGGUGUAGACGGCUUUCUGGACCGUAGCUGACACUGAGGGACGAAAGCUAGGGGAGCGAAAGGG
rnacentral:rRNA from 1 species